rnacentral:lncRNA from 1 species
UUUUUUUUUUUUUUUUUUUUCAUAUCCGCCCAUAUAUUUCCACUGCUGCAUACGCAGGCGCCACCACCCAAGGAAGCUGCUUUGCAGCUUGCCUGUUACCUCAGGGCAGUGUGACAGCGGGCAGAGCGCGGAUGUGAACAACUCCAGGCACUCAGCCUUCUGUCCGAGCUACCAACAGAUCCCCAGGAAUGCUUGCUACAAACCUUUGGGAGGUUAUUCCUCUGUGACUGAUUGCUUACAAACGAAACAGAGGCCUUUAGUACAUUGCGGCGAGAGACACAAAGGUCAGGGCAUUGAGGCUGCACAUGUUUGGAAUUCAGCUUUCUUUGUUCUCUACCACCUGCAUCCUCCAUCCAAUGUCAUCCCAAUUUCAAACUCCCCAGGGCUACAGGAGUUUGCUACUGGAGGCACUAAUAUCAUAAAUAUCACAGCUAUGCUGCCUCAAAAGUAAAAUUUUAGUGUGGGCAAGGUGGUGUGUACCUGUAAUCCAAGCACUUUGGGAGGCUGGGAGGAUCGCUUGAGGCCAGGAGUUCAAGACCAGCCUGGGCAACACAGCGAGACCCUGUCUCCACAAUAAACAUUAAAAUAAGGUAAUAAAUAAAUAAAUUUCUUGCACAUUUCCAUACCAUAUUUCCAAGGAGACAAGAGUGGGUUGUGGGUUUCUUGACAAUUUUUAUAACUAUAUAUGAUUUUAUAACUAUAUAUGGCUCUCAAUUAUUCAUGAGAAGACAAAUAAGUAAGCCUUUAGAAAACCCUUAGGAUUUUUUCAGCUAUUAGUUUUACCCUCCUGGACCCAACUCACAGCACUAACAAGUAGUAAAAUGAGCCAUUUCUUCAUUCCCCACUUCCCUGAAGGUGAGGCCAAUAAAUACUGAAAUGAGGAAAAGGCAGGCAGGCCGGGGAAGCCUGGAAGGAAAUGUCACAGGUCAUGUGCUCCACAAAUGUCACAAUAACUUUGAACUAGAAAUAACUUUUGUCCCCAAGAGAGCCACUCCCUCCUCACUCAGCCUUCCUGAAAUAUAUUUUACAUUCUAGGAUCUCAUUCAUUUGCUAGCAGGAUCAGCGUACGCUUUUUACCCAAGGUAAGACAAGGUUUGUAUCUCUAAUACCAUCUUACAGUUAUUCAAGCAUUUGUUCAGCAAUUCUAGAAUCUUAUUGCAUUACUCGCAGUCGGCACUCACUGUGUGAGUGGCAUGGUGCGCGGCCCAGACAAUACACGAAGAACAAGAUGACUGAGGCAUAGCCUGGGAGGCAGUCAUUCAUGACACAAAUAGCUAUUUAGUGACCAUUGUGACAUAGCUUUAAAAGAACACAACUUGUGAAAUCCAUUUCCUUUCAAGACUUGGCCUUAGAGAAGAGAGGGAAAACCCCCAGCAAGGCGGGUGUGUGCCCACAGGUUAACGUGCCUUGGGGCAUGUCUGAAUAGGAAGCUUCCACCUAAUUCUUUCUUGUACUCUGGGAAAGCAGCAUGAGCUCUGCACCAAAAUGCACAAAUUUAUGUUAAAUAAAAAUAUUGGGGAAAACGCUUCAAACAAAGCACAACAUUUCAGAAAGAGAGUGCUCACAGCCCCAACUCAUGAAUGAGGCGGUUGGCCUGACAUUGUCCUUGAUGUCAUCCUUCCAUAGUUCUCGUCACCUUCCAGCCUCUAAGCUCUGCCCAUCUCCAUUUGCCUCUGGACACCUACCUCCAAGCUCAUUUCUACUAAUUCUAACAGAGGUAUUGGGUGAAAAUGGCCUGGUCAGAAUUGUUUGCAUUUUAAAGGAAGAGUCCAGAAGACUGAAAUAAAUCUUUCAGAUUCUAAAAGUGGAAAUGAAAAAAUUAUCUCCUUGGCCCAUCAAACCAUCUCCAAUAGAGUCCCCCAAACCACUGCCCAUUCCCAACCCAUGGAGAGAAAUGGGUCCACUUCUCAUAUGUGCAAACCCUGAGUCUGUGUCUUAUUUCUACGUGUGCUCAUUUCCAGCAUGCUGGCCUCUGAAGCACCCCUGAGGUGACAGGAAAACACGUGAAGCCAUUUUAAAAUAACAACUGAACCCAAAGUGGCAGGCUGUGUCAAGAUAUCAAACUCAGAUCAGGUAUCACUGAAAAAAUGUUACUCAAAUGCUUAACCUUGCUGUUGUUGUUUACUCGUCCUUCAACUGUAUACUUUUAAAGUGACACAGAAUCAGUUUUGUCCCAAACACACACACACACACACACACACACACACACACGACUGUCCUUAUAUGACCUUGACAUAAUUUUAACAAGGACUUUCCAGGAAGAGAAUCUAGUAAAGCACCACUAGGCAUUAUCUUUCUGAAUCAUCAUAACUGCCUCUUGCUACCAUAAAAAACUGGUAAUUGUUGAAGAAUGGGAGAACGUAAGCCAGAUUCAGAAAGUUAAACAUAUACCUGUGAGGCAGCCUAAGCAGUAUCAUUUAUACCCUCUGGAAUGUGUAGCCCCAGAGUCCACUUCAGAUAUUAUUGCAGUAACACACCUCACUAUCCUGCAGCAGGAAGCAGGCACCCCACAAAACGGGGAGCAGGUAGAGAAUAAAGAACUAAACCAAAUCACAUCUAGCAAACAGACUUCCCCUGUCGUAUUCUCCCAGGCUCUGUUUUUCCUGCCCUUCUCUCUUUCCUGGUCUAAUACAAUUAUUUUCCAUCUGGCUUCACAAUGCCAGAACCCUUUUUCUCACAGGCUCCCCCUUUGCUCUGUUCCGUUGAAUUGCAUUUCCAUUUCUAGUCCUCCAGUUCUAUCGGUCUGGGUCUACACAAGUGGCUUUAUCUUCCAGUGUUUC